UGCGAAUGGGCGAAGCCUGACGCAGCGACGCCGCGUGGGGGAUGAAGCUUCUCGGAGUGUAAACCCCUUUCGACCCGGAAGAAUGACCCGCAAGGGUUUGACGGUACGGGUAUAAGAAGCCCCGGCUAACUACGUGCCAGCAGCCGCGGUAAGACGUAGGGGGCCAGCGUUGCUCGGAAUUACUGGGCGUAAAGGGUUCGUAGGCGGUGUGGCAAGUCGGGAGUGAAAUCUCCAGGCUUAACUUGGAGGCUGCUUCCGAAACUGCCAUGCUAGAGUGCGGGAGAGGCGAGUGGAAUUGCAGGUGUAGCGGUGAAAUGCGUAGAUAUCUGCAGGAACACCCGUGGCGAAGGCGGCUCGCUGGACCGCAACUGACGCUGAGGAACGAAAGCUAGGGGAGCAAACAGGAUUAGAUACCCUGGUAGUCCUAGCCCUAAACCAUCAGGACUUGGGGUGCAUCCCGUCGGGGUGCGUCCCGUAGCUAACGCGUUAAGUCCUGCGCCUGGGGAGUACGGUCGCAAGGCUGAAACUCAAAGAAAUUGACGGA
rnacentral:rRNA from 1 species